AGCCCUGUAGUGAAGUUCAUGGUGAGUUGCAAGCUCAUUGAUGCACAUUAAAGAUGUGUCAGGGUUUU
ensembl:Mt_tRNA